UUUAAUUGUUUGUUUUGUUUGCACUGAAUAAUAUUUGUUAAUAUAUAUUUUUUUGUAUUACGAGAUCUUUGCUUAAAAGGUCAAUUGUAUUUGUAACAGCUGUGAAAAAUAAAACAAAGUAGUGAUAACAUUUAUAUAAACAAAAUUUAAAUUAUUUGCAAAAAAAAAAUAUUAAAAAGUUUAUAGUUGUUUAAUUAAUAACAACACAGUGUAAUGGAUUUACAAUUUAUUUUUAAACUUGGUGCGCUUCAGACGUUGUAAACGGGCAAUAAUAAUAAGUAAAUAAAUAUUGAAAAAAAUAUAUUGCAUUGAAGUGAAAAAUAAAUUGUAUUUAAGAAAAAAAAAAAUAACAAAAAAUGUUUAACGCACAAAUGCAGUUUAAAAAAAUAAG